GAUGAACGCUAGCGGCAGGCUUAACACAUGCAAGUCGAGGGGUAUAGUUCUUCGGAACUAGAGACCGGCGCACGGGUGCGUAACGCGUAUGCAAUCUACCUUUUGCAGAGGGAUAGCCCAGAGAAAUUUGGAUUAAUACCUCAUAGUAUGUGAGAAUGGCAUCAUUUUCACAUUAAAGUCACAACGGCAAAAGAUGAGCAUGCGUCCCAUUAGCUUGUUGGUAAGGUAACGGCUUACCAAGGCAACGAUGGGUAGGGGUCCUGAGAGGGAGAUCCCCCACACUGGUACUGGGACACGGACCAGACUCCUACGGGAGGCAGCAGUGAGGAAGAUUGGACAAUGGGCGCAAGCCUGAUCCAGCCAUGCCGCGUGCAGGAUGACGGUCCUAUGGAUUGUAAACUGCUUUUGUACAGGAAGAAACACUGGUUCGUGAACCAGCUUGACGGUACUGUAAGAAUAAGGAUCGGCUAACUCCGUGCCAGCCGCCGCAGUAAAAC
rnacentral:rRNA from 1 species